AGGUUUUACCUUCAAAAAUCAAUGAGUUUCGUGCUGUCCAGAUUGCCUAGCAAAUCCAUGGAAGUGUAUUGAGCGCAAAUCCUGAAGGGGGAAGGCAAACGGCUGUUCGGAACUUGAUGAUGGCCUCUUUGAAAGAUGAAUCUGCAGCUAUGUGAACUUCUUGGCGUAAAGGGUCACAUUUCCAUACCUUUACCGCAAAGGAGCAGGUUGACUCUUAGAGGAAGGGCAUUCUUCACUACUGACCAGAGGAAAGCUUUCAUUUUGGGUGAGAACUUUCCUGACCAAAUGUCCUUUAUCCACUGGAAAUCCUCAGCUUGAUGCAACAAUGACGACUCUGUGCAGGAGAUAGAAGCCGCGUGAUAUCCUGAUUUUUGUGGAAUAAAUACCCGAAGAUGUAGAGUGCUAGAUAUAAGAAUCUUAUGCUCCUUUCAGGCUUGGUUGUAGGCACAGAAUCUGAGAGAAAUACUCAGGCUGAUCAGGAGUUGGAAACAUGACAUGGUGUAGGUUGGGAUGGCAUUGAGUACUGAUUUGAGCAUUAAUUGUGAGCUUCCCAGCUCAAGAGAGUCUCUUUGGGGAUGAGCUGAUAGCCUUCUGUCGAAUUCU